GUUUCUUCAGGGUUUCCAGGCUGGCUUCCAACCGAGGAUGGUUGCGCUGAUCCUCCCGCCUCAGUCUCCCUAAGUGCUGAGAUGUUGCAGGAAGUCAGGGACCCCGAACAGAGAGAUCGGCUGGAGCCGUGGCAGAGGAACAUAAAUUUUGAAGAUUUCAUUUUAAUAUGGACACUUAUCAGUUCCCAAAUAAUACUUUUAUAAUUUUUUAUGCCUGUCUUUGCUUUAAUCUCUUAAUCCUGUUAUCUUCAUAAGCUAAGGAUGUACGUCACCUCAGGACCACUGUGAUAAUUGUGUUAACUGUACAGAUUGAUUGCAAAACAUGUGUGUUUGAACAAUAUGAAAUCAGUGCACCUUGAAAAAGAGCAGAAUAACAGCAAUUUUUAGGGAACAAGGGAAGACAACUAUAAGGUCUGACUGCCUGCGGGGUCGGGCAAAGGGAGCCAUAUUUUUCUUCUUGCAGAGAGCCUAUAAAUAGACCUGCAAGUAGGAGAGAUAUUGCUAAUUUCUUUUGCUAGCAUGGAAUAUUAAUAUUAACACCCUGGGAAAGGAAUGCAUUCCUGGGGGGAGGUCUAUAAAUGGCCGCUCUGGGAAUGUCUAUCCUACGCAAUGGAGAUAAGGACUGAGAUACGCCCUGGUCUCCUGCAGUACCCUCAGGCUUACUAGGGUGGUGAAAAACUCCGCCCUGGUAAAUUUGUGGUCAGACCAGUUUUCUGCUCUCGAACACUGUUUUCUGUUGUUUAAGAUGUUUAUCAAGACAAUACGUGCACCGCUGAACACAGACCCUUAUCAGUAGUUCUCCUUUUUGCCCUUUGAAGCAUGUGAUCUACUCCCUGUUUUACACCCCCUCACCUUUUGAAACCCUUAAUAAAAAACUUGCUGGUUUGAGGCUCAGGU
rnacentral:lncRNA from 10 species